UUAAUUACUUAUAUGAAUUUUAGAGUAAAUUACAAAUUUGGUCCUUAUGUUUAAAUAAAAGUUCCAAGUUUAUUUCAAAUUUUAAAAUUGUGUCGACGUCAUAAUUAAAUUUGGAUGGAACUUGCAAUUUUAAGUGUAGACUCAGUGCCGGCCCAAGCCCAGGGCGAGAAGGGCCAUGGCCUAGGGCAACAAUUUCUAAUGAGGCAUCAAUUUUUCAUAGCCUCUUAUAGGUAUUAUGUAUUAGGGUAUAUUUGGGCCUGUGAGGCUGUUAAGAAGACUGAACACUAGUCCAGUAAACCAUCACGUUCAAGACUUGGGGCAACAAAUUUUUGGAGACCUAACAGCAGCAACUACAACGGUACAACAAUUACGACUCUUCGAUCUAUACUUCUAAUAAUUGAAGAUGAAGAACACGAGGCGUCCCUAGCGUCCCUGCUGGAGAAUGGAGAUGGACAAUCAAGAUUUAGUCUGCAUCAAUUCAAUCGCCUACUGCCCUAUUAUCUCUUCCAGUCUUCCGAUUCAUUGCUUCAACACUCAACAGUUCAGCACUUCUCUUGCCCUCUCUCUUGAUAAAUCGACUUCUCCAGUUCUCAUAUAUUCUUCUUUCUUUCUUUCUUGAAUCGUCCUCUACUGAAUGUCUGAAUCGUCCCUACUAGUUUAUCUAUUGCUCUAAUUCUAUUGUGCUAAAGACUUAAAGUGAAGAUUCAAAGGUGGAAACAGUGAUUGAAUGAAUACUUCUCCUCUUAAGGUCCUAAUCCGUUUUUUUAUUAAGGUUCCUGGAGUCUGGAGAAGUGAAAUUUUCGGUCCAACUCAUCCAAAAUUGCAGACUUGCAUUGUUGUUCAUCUUGGAUUACACUAAGCUUCAUUAUUUCCAGGGUUUUUAAAGUGUUUGGACGACGUUGUGGCAAUCAUAUGGAAGCCAUACGUGAAGUUAAUGCCAAGCUAUAACGUUGGAGGAAGGAGCUCAACCUGUGAAUUGUUGUAAUCUACAGCAGCUCAAAUUUCAAAAUUGUUUCUCUGUCCCAUAAAUAAUCCAUGGGGAUGAGUCUAAGUGGAAGACAAACGAAGAAUUUGAAAGAGAAAUAAUGACAGGAAUAAACCCAACCCUGUUUUAAUUUGAUGUUAUCAUGUUAGUGUCAAGGAAAUUGAACCAUGGUCGGCUAGACUUCUACUUUGAAGACACGUUAGUUUAAUGCGGACAUGACUUAAUUUGAUAACCUUUAUAUAUUAUUGUUUUCUUUUUCUUUUCAUUUACAAAUUUGCUCUUAUGGCGUGUGUUUGUUAAUGUGUAGUUUGAUUACAUUGUAUUAUUAUCUACAUCGGUUGGAAUCAUAGAUUAGAUUACUUUUCUCUUUUGAAAUUGAAU